AUGGGACCAGUGGGACACUUUUACUGGAAGCCUAAAACAUGGCCAGUUAAGGUUCUCCUUAGAUUUCUCUGUGCCAUGCUGCCCCACGCUCUGGCCUUCCAAGGUGCUGCGCUCAUGCAGUCCAAGUAUUUUAGCCAUCCCCAAGGUACCAGCAAUUUGUGCAGACACAGAACUAAGAUCAUCUUUAUUGUGAUCACGUUGGUUAUUAAUGACAUAUUAUGGAGUUCACAUUUAACAUUUAACUCCCACGGAUGCUUGCAGCGAGAAGAGCUGAGGCCACCUCUCCACACACAACUCUUCACGGUCCCCAGAGGAGUAAGAGUGUGAAGCAUGCCAUCGCACACCCCUGCACUCUCAACCAGGGAGUGUUUCUCAUCCACAGCCCGUGUCUGUUAUUCACCACUGCAAAGCCAAGGCCCAUUCUCCUCCUGUCUGUGAGAAGGCAACACCCAAACAAGAAAAUGCGAGAAAAAUGUUUUUAACAUUUAUUUGUUCUUGGACCUCCCUCACAGCCUAGCUAAGCUAAUGAAGCUAAAAUAUUUAAUCACCUCAUGCUUCUAUUAUAAAACUCUUCUGUUUUGAACAAAUGGAAAAACAAUGGGGCUGUAAACCUGGUGUUCUGCUUCACCAAAUAACUGCUCACAGUCCCUGGUUUCAAGGAACCUGACGCAUCUGGCUCAGACAUGGAGCAACAUGCUCUCUUUCCCUCCGGUGACUCAUUUAACAUCUCCUCAAGGAAAAAUUACUACUACUGGAACAGCAAAAACAGCCUCCUAGGCAUUGUUAUGAUCAGCUGUGUAGAGAGGAGCUGGAAAGGACAAAGCAGUGAGAGUGAUGUCUGGGAGUGUGGGGAUACCACUGGGGUGGGAGAGGUCCGUGGAUGGGCGGACCACUGCUCGUGACUGUGACAAGAAGCUCCUCUCUGGCCUCUGCCACAAGACAGUUUUGCAUUUGCCCCAGCCAGAGGAGAUGGUUAUCUUCCUUGUUGCAACAGCGGGUGAGCUGGCUCCAACCCUUGUGCCACGGUCUGCCCGGGGGAGGCAGUCGGCCUCGCUACCGGGGCUGCCGCAGCAGGCCGAGGCCAGGUGAAUCAUCUCUUUGAUUCGUGGUGAUCUUCCUUACCGCACUUAUGACUUUCAGGCUGGGUUUUAGGCUCUUCCUCUGGUCAGCGAGGCCUUCCAGAGGGCAAGCUAGCCCUCCACAAUACACUUGGCUUUAGAUGGGAGGGAGGAGGCUUGCCCUCUGCAGACAGCAGCCUCUCCUCACAGCAAAACAGCUAAAGUGAGUUAUGGCUUCUCAGGCAGCGGAAUGCAAAAUUGUCAGCCUCUUGGCAUGUGGGUGACUGCCUGUAUAUCUCAGAGACACAGCUCACAAAUCCAUUCGGAGGGCUUUUAUGCUAAUAAAGCUCUGGUUUUCCUCAGGAACUAGUCAUUGCUGCCAGUUCAGAAAUCUUUAUUUUAGCUUUUGUUUUGGAUUUUCAAAGCCUGCUUUGUCAGUGGAAAUGCACAUCCUCCUGACUGCGGCACAGAAAGCGCUGCUGACAAUUAUUUUUCUGUUACGACACAUCGCAUCAGGUGGUCCUAUCUCAGCACAGUAGACAGCUGAUGGGUGGGGAAGAGAAACUGAUAUAGCCUAACCAUGAGGUCUUGCUGCCUGCCUGGGAAAUAAAGGACACCGAAAUAUAACUGCGUGGGAAGGACUUCCAAGAAGAAUUUGUCCCAAACCAUUUCUGGAAACAGAUGAUAACAUUAUUUACCCAAAUACAGGAAGCUUGAGAUUGCA
rnacentral:lncRNA from 1 species